ensembl:snRNA U6 U6 spliceosomal RNA
GUGCUUGUUUCAGCGCACAUACAGUGAAAAUGGAACAAUAUAGAAAAGGUUAGCAUAUUUCCUGUGUAAGGAGGACAUGCAAAUUUGUGAAGUGUUCCACAUUUUU